GUAAGGAAUAUUGGACAAUGGACGCAAGUCUGAUCCAGCCAUGCCGCGUGAAGGAUUAAGGUCCUCUGGAUUGUAAACUUCUUUUAUAAGGGACGAAAAAAGGCUUUUCUAAGUCGUCUGACGGUACCUUAUGAAUAAGCACCGGCUAACUCCGUGCCAGCAGCCGCGGUAAUACGGAGGGUGCAAGCGUUAUCCGGAUUCACUGGGUUUAAAGGGUGCGUAGGCGGGCAGGUAAGUCAGUGGUGAAAUCCUAGAGCUUAACUCUAGAACUGCCAUUGAUACUAUCUGUCUUGAAUAUUGUGGAGGUAAGCGGAAUAUGUCAUGUAGCGGUGAGAUGCUUAGAUAUGACAUAGAACACCUAUUGCGAAGGCAGCUUACUACGCAUAUAUUGACGCUGAGGCACGAAAGCGUGGGGAUCAAACAGGAUUAGAAACCCCAGUAGUCC
rnacentral:rRNA from 1 species